UACGAAGGGGGCGAGCGUUGUUCGGAAUCACUGGGCGUAAAGGGCGCGUAGGCGGCGCGGUAAGUCGGGUGUGAAAUCUUGGAGCUUAACUCCGAAACUGCAUUCGAUACUGCCGUGCUUGAGGACUGGAGAGGAGACUGGAAUUUACGGUGUAGCGGUGAAAUGCGUAGAUAUCAUGAGGAAGACCAGUGGCGAAGGCGGAUCUCUGGACAGUUCCUGACACUGAGGCACGAAGGCCAGGGAGCAAACGGG
rnacentral:rRNA from 1 species